UAGAUGCGAGAGUAGAGCAUAUCAAUAAGCGGAGGAAAAGGAGUAUACCUACGCUUAGGAUGUUGACGAGACUGUCGAUCUCAUCUAUACAUGACUCUGUGCAUAUCAAUAAGCGGAGGAAAAGAAACUAACAAGGAUUCCCCUAGUAACGGCGAGUGAAGCGGGAAGAGCUCAAAUUUGAAAUCUUAAAGGGUUUCCCUUUACGAAUUGUAGUUUAAAGAAGUGUUUUCUGUUGAGGUUUUGGUAAAAGUUCUUUGGAAUAGGACAUCAUAGAGGGUGAGAAUCCCGUAUUUGGCCUUUACUUUCAACUUUGUGAUACACUUUCAAAGAGUCGGAUUGUUUGGGAAUGCAGUCCAAAAUGGGUGGUAAAUUUCAUCUAAAGCUAAAUAUUGGCGAGAGACCGAUAGCGAACAAGUACCGUGAGGGAAAGAUGAAAAGAACUUUGAAAAGAGAGUUAAACAGUACGUGAAAUUGUCAAAAGGGAAGCGUUUGACACCAGUGUUGUUUUUCUGAAAAUCAAUUAAAGAACUGUUUAUGCUAAGUUGUUUAGACUUUAUCAGCUAACUGUUUAGUUUUGAGCUUUUCUUUAAUGCACUUUUCAGUUAACAAGCCAACAUCAAUUUCUUUUGCUGUAAAAAAGCUUGAGGAAGGUGGCUUGAGAUUCGUCUUAAGUGUUUAUAGCCUCUUGCCUAUGCAGUCGGAGAGAUUGAGGUCUGCAGCGUAGAUCCUUCGGGGCUAAGUGCAUUUGUGCUAAGUUAUAGCAUUUUAUAGACAACUUGUUGACUAUGACUUGUCUUGUAGCUUACUCGCUUAUGUUAUUUUACCUACGCUUAGGAUGUUGAAGAUGUAGCACAUCAU
rnacentral:rRNA from 1 species